GCUGUGUGUUCAGUGGUGGUGCUCAGGUCACUGUUCACUCAGACCUUGCGUUCAACAGCUGGUUUAUUUUACAGGUUUUAUAUUUACAAUCACAUGUCUCCAGAUGUCUUUGACUUAUAAACAAAUCUUACCCACAAAACAAACCCACACAACCAAAGUGACUAAUAAUGAACUAAAACACAAAAUCAAAACAUUCAUUAACUUUUAUACACGGUAUUAUGACAGAUAUUAUGUUCUGUAGACACUAUAGGCGUGUACAACCCUGAGACUCUGUUGACCAAAGAAAGUGAUCCACAAAUUUUCCGCAGGGUUGUACAGCAGUUGGAGUGUGACUGAAGCAUCCUAUUUGUGUGACUUCCCAAUGUAGCACAAGUACACUUUAUAUGUCACACUUAAUGUUUUCUGUCAGAUGGUUUAUAGAUCUUGACAUUUCCGACUGAACUUGAAGGCGGCUUUAUUUCCCGGAGAAAGAAAAGAGA